rnacentral:rRNA from 1 species
UACAGAGGUCUCAAGCGUUGUUCGGAUUCAUUGGGCGUAAAGGGUGCGUAGGCGGCGCGGUAAGUCGGGUGUGAAAUCUCGGAGCUUAACUCCGAAACUGCAUUCGAUACUGAUCGACUCGAAGGCAGGAGAGGGUAGUGGAAUUCCCGGUGUAGUGGUGAAAUGCGUAGAUAUCGGGAGGAACACCGGUGGCGAAGGCGGCUUCCUGGACCGACACUGACGCUGAGGCGCGAAGGCCAGGGGAGCAAACGGG